AUUGAACGCUGGCGGCAGGCCUAACACAUGCAAGUCGAACGAGUGGCGGACGGGUGAGUAAUGGCUGUGAAACUGCCUGAUGGAGGGGGAUAACCACUGGAAACGGUAGCUAAUACCGCAUACCAUCUGAUGUGCCCAGAUGGGUUUAGCUAGUAGGUGGGGUACAGGCUCACCUAGGCGACGAACCCUAGCUGGUCUGAGAGGAUGACCAGCCACACUGGAUCUUAGACACGGUCCAGACUCCUACAGGAGGCAGCAGUGGAGAAUAUUGCACAAUGGGCGCAAGCCUGAUGCAGCCAUGCCGCGUGUAUGAAGAAGGCCUUCGGGUUGUAAAGUACUUUCAGCGGGGAGGCGUUACCCGCAGAAGAAGCACCGGCUAACUCCGUGCCAGCAGACGCGGUAAUAC
rnacentral:rRNA from 1 species